ensembl:snRNA U6 U6 spliceosomal RNA
GUGCUCACUUAGGCAGCACAUAUACUAAAAUUGGAAUGAUACAGAGAAGAUUAGCAUGGCCCCUGUCCACGGAUAACAUGCGCAUUCAUGAAGCGUUCCAUAUUUUU